GUUCUGUGAGGCAGCCACCUGUGGGCUCAGGAUCGGGCGGCAGACACUGCAGGGUGGGAUCGCGGGCUGCCUUUCUCAAAUUGCCGACCUGCUGUUUGUUUUCCUAAACUUCUGCGGUCAUUGGCGGGGAUGGACCCUUCAGAACCUAACUCACAGCAGCUCAGUCAGAGGGGACCAGAACUAGCUACCCUGAGCCCGGCCUGGUUCAGUGCCAUCACUAGUGUGCUGUGAGACUUGGGUGAGAUACUGAACUUCUUUAUGUCUCUGUUCUCCAGGGUCCCCGACUCCUCCUGGCCAGCCUGGAACUGUCUUGGAUUGCACACUGCAGUACCCAGUCCUGGGAAGCACUCAGUCCUAGGCAACUCCGGGUGAUGGGCGACAGUGUUCAACUGGCACACACCAGACCUGUAGACACACACACACACACACACACACACAACUUCACGUUUUCAGAGCCAUGUUAGAUUCAUAGCAGAAUCGGGAGGAGGGCAUGGAAAAUCCCACCCACUGCCCACCAUGGAGGCCCACCUACCUCACGUGAACCCUGGCUCAGGGGUGUGUCUAUUGUAAAUGACACACCUCUGGGGACACACUGUCAGGUGGUCUGGGAGUCCAGCACUCUGUGGGUUUGGACUAACAUGGGCCAGCGCCUGCAGGGCUCUCAUGGAGCAUGCCCUCUGCCUCGGAACCUGCGCCCCAGCCCUGGCACCCACCAAUGCCCUGCACUGUCUCCACGCUGGGUUCUCCCAUGAGCUUCUCCCACGCUGUGGGCUUCAGAUUGUACAGAAUGCAGCACGCUUACGGUUCUAUUUUAAGUUAUUUGUAGGUUUUAAUGAAG
rnacentral:lncRNA from 1 species